rnacentral:rRNA from 1 species
UAAUACGAACUGUGCGAACGUUAUUCGGAUUCACUGGGCUUAAAGGGUGCGUAGGCGGCCGUUUAAGUAGGGUGUGAAAGCCCCCGGCUCAACCGGGGAAUGGCGCCCUAAACUGGACGGCUGGAGUGAGACAGGGGUGUGCGGAACUUCCGGUGGAGCGGUGAAAUGUGUUGAUAUCGGAAGGAACGCCGGUGGCGAAAGCGGCACACUGGGUCUCAACUGACGCUGAGGCACGAAAGCCAGGGUAGCGAACGGGAUUAGAUACCCCGGUAGUCCUGGCCAUAAACGAUGAGCACUGAUGGGAAGGUCCGCGAGGUCUUUCUCAUGGAGCGAAAGUGUUAAGUGCUCCGCCUGGGGAGUAUGGUCGCAAGGCUG